UACGUAGGGCGCGAGCGUUGUCCGGAAUCAUUGGGCGUAAAGAGCUCGUAGGCGGCCGGUUGCGUCUGCUGUGAAAUCCCGGGGCUUAACCCCGGGCGUGCAGUGGAUACGGGCUGGCUGGAGGCAGGCAGGGGAGAAUGGAAUUCCCGGUGUAGCGGUGAAAUGCGCAGAUAUCGGGAGGAACGACCGGUGGCGAAGGCGGUUCU
rnacentral:rRNA from 1 species